GAUGAACGCUGACAGAAUGCUUAACACAUGCAAGUCUUUGGCGAAGCUGUGCUUGCACAGCCUAGCCAAGGCGGACGGGUGAGUAACGCGUAAGGAACUUGCCCUGCAGUCAGGGAUAACAGACGGAAACGACUGAUAAGACCUGGUAAAGUCAGGCGGACUCAUGUCCAGCCUGAUGAAAAGAGAUGCUGCAGGAGAGCCUUGCGUCCUAUUAGCUUGUUGGUGGGGUAACGGCCCACCAAGGCGAUGAUAGGUAGCCGGCCUGAGAGGGUGGACGGCCACCAGGGGACUGAGAUACGGCCCUUACUCCUACGGGAGGCAGCAGUGGGGAAUAGUGGACAAUGGGGGCAACCCUGAUCCAGCAAUUCUGUGUGCACGAUGAAGGUUUUCGGAUUGUAAAGUGCUUUCAGCAGGGAAGAAAAAAAUGACGGUACCUGCAGAAGAAGCGACGGCUAAAUACGUG
rnacentral:rRNA from 1 species